GACGAACGCUGGCGGCGUGCUUAACACAUGCAAGUCGAACGGAAAGGCCCUGCUUUUGUGGGGUGCUCGAGUGGCGAACGGGUGAGUAACACGUGAGUAACCUGCCCUUGACUUUGGGAUAACUUCAGGAAACUGGGGCUAAUACCGGAUAGGAGCUCCUGCUGCAUGGUGGGGGUUGGAAAGUUUCGGCGGUUGGGGAUGGACUCGCGGCUUAUCAGCUUGUUGGUGGGGUAGUGGCUUACCAAGGCUUUGACGGGUAGCCGGCCUGAGAGGGUGACCGGCCCCAGUGGGACCGAGAGACGGCCCAGACUCCCAAGGGGGGGAGGAGGGGGGAAAAUUUCACAAUGGGGCGAAGCCCUAAUGCGCAACCCCCCGGGCGGGAAGACGGGCCUUGGGGUUUAAAACCCGUUUGCCCUUGAACAAGGCGGGGGGAAGGGUAAUGGUAAAGAAGCCCCGGCUUAACUAGUG
rnacentral:rRNA from 1 species